UUUUUUUCUGUGUUGGUGUAAUGUACUCAGGUGAAUAUGAUGCUUGUGAUGUUACUCUGAGUAACAUCACAAGCAUCAUAUUCACCUGAGUACAUUACACCAGCACAGAAAAAAAUCAUGAUUAUU